GACAUGGUGGCCUAAUGGUUAACGCGUUGGACUCCAGAUCGAGUGGUCUGGGUUCAAGCCAGGGUCAGUGUGUUG